GUUGCCCCCGAGAUCGGACACUGGAGAGCAUGCGUCUUCUGUCGCGUAAAGUAAGGCCGAUCUCCGGCCACCCGGCGAGGCGGAUGAGAACAGCGUCCUUGUAGGCAGGCUGGCUGGAGUGUCGGGCUUCAGGAGACGCGGAGGGGAACCGGAGUAGAGAUAUAUGAGCUCUUUGAAAGCAGAACACUGUUGUUUCCAUGUUCUGAUCAUUCAGAGAUUAUGAAGGCACAGUUCCUGCCUUUUAUUUGCUUACAGUCAAGCGGAGUAGACACAGGUCAUGGUGGCAGUAUAGCCCCUUAAGUAUUCUGAAGGAGUGAAUGGAUUAUAUUCUUGUCUCCAGUCCAGUCUAUUUGAAUAUACGGACAUCUCGUAAGCUGCUUUCAAAGAAGAGACCCACAUUUAGGCUUAGGAAUGAGCACAGGGGAGACAGCAAGAAUGCCACAUCAUGGUGAAUUGUGCUGGGGGCAGCUGCCACUGUGUGAGCCACGUAAGAUUUUAACACAUUUUGGAGGAUGAGAAGAGCAAACUGAUGACCAAGCACGUGCUUCAGAAAUUACUUUAUUGCAUGUGUACAAGUGAUUGCAUAUUGUUGUUUGAACCAGCAGGAAGUCAAUUAUUAAACAUACACUUUUCCAAAUAAAAGGCAGUUUAAUUUUACCAGAAACCAGUGUCAUUUUGUAUCCCAAGUCUCUAACCAGCUUUACAAUCUCAUCUAAUAAAGGUGCCUUAAAUUCUGAGUAUUUUGAAUUAUUAAACCGUGUUAGUUUACACCAGGAGUCUGUGGUGGUUUUACAUAUUCUCUUUCCCCUUUGUUAAGGUGGGGAAGCCAAAGAUUAUGUUAAUAACUUGCUCAAGAGUUAUAAAGUGACAUAGGUAAAGCUAAGAAAAGAACAGAUUUUGGUAUCUUUUGCCCAGCAUGAGGGAUUGUGGCUACAAUGGUCUGAUUUUUUUUUUAAAAAAUCUUUUUCUGUUUUGUUUUUUAACAGAUUUAUCAGCAGGUUGCAGGUGAACAUGGCCUUGAGGUAAAUCCUGCCCCUUAUUGAAAUUUAGUUCCAGUAGAUUGUUCUUGGCAUUUUAAGGAAUUAGAAUAUUUUACAAAAAACAAAAGUUUUGUUUUGGUUCUUUUCUAGACUUUUUUUUUUUUCUUGUGGAAGAUGAGAAACAUGUUUAAAGAAGGGUUCUUUAUGCUGAAUAAUUGUGAUGCUUGAAGUUGGUCAUCUGCCUUAUUUAGAUUAAGUGGAUUUUAAAAAUCAAAGCUAUUUCUACACCAUUUUUUUCUUGAUCAAAUAAAAUUUUAUUAGAACCUUAUAGGUGCCUAGUUUUUAAUCCAUGUUACAUUACAUGUGAAAUAAAGCCUAUUAGAAUCCUGAAUUCAAACUUACUUUAUCUGUGAUGUCCUACUUCCUACUCAGUAGUUUCUUUUUUAGUAGCUGAUAACAUUUUUGAUAAUACACACAUAUAUAUUUUAAUUGUUUGUAACUUGAACCAUCUCUGUGCUUGCUUUGGUUGUAUCUUCCUUAUAUAAGGGUAGUGAUCCAGGUUGGCAGGGCAGAGGGAUGUGUGUGUGUGUGUGUGUGUGUGUGUUUGUAACGAACUUUAAGAUUGUCAAGUUGAGUUGUGAAUUCAAGAAUCUGAACUUCUGUUUAUACCAAUAGGCAGAGUUUUGAGAUGGGAGACAAGAGGUUCUCCUUGUGUCAGACUUUGAGUGUACUGGGAAACAUGUAAGUGAAAAUCUUUAAAGUGAAAGAUUUUUCAGUUAACAUAAAACUUUAAGUGAUGAGAUCAGGGGCAUAUAUGUUUAGAGAAGCAUCCACAGGGCACGAUACUAAAUUGUCCCUGAGAAUUGCUUUACAGGUGGAGUCAUUUACUCUGCAUCUUGACUGGUAAGCAUGAAAACGCUGUGUGUGCAGAGCUUUAAGUGGCAACUGGAAACUUGAACUGGAGAACCAGAAAUGCAGCCAAGGGAGCUGGGCAUCGAGGUCACAAAAUGGCAUGAGAGCAGUGAGGCAGGAUGCCCAAAGGUGCUGGCUGGAGACCACCUCUCCUACCAGGGCUCAGCUUUGCACUUGGUGGACUGAUAUUUUCUCUUGAAAGAUUGUUGUGCAUUUGCUAUAUGUCAUACACUGUUAUGCAUUCUCAUGUUUGUCAUUAAAUCUCCCGUCCUAUAAGACAAGUAUUAUUUUUCUCUUUGUUUAAAGAGAAACAGAAGCUCAGGGAGAUAAUGUGACUUUUCAGUGGUCGUAAGGCAAAGUCGCUACAAAAUAGCAAUCAAACUCAAGUCUUCCGAUUUCAAAUCUGGUUCUCUUUGCAUUAUAGGACAGUUCCUAGAAUCAGUUGCAACUAAUGUUGUCUAUUUUUUACCAGACCUUAGCCCCCCUACCCCAAACGUGCACAUAGUGAAAGCAACACAUUUAUUAUUAUUUAUGUGUAGGCUGCUGUGUGACACCAGGAAGCACGUAGUAGUAGGUAAUGUUGCAUUUUUACCAGUCUUGCCAUCUAGCCACAGUUGCCCCUCUCUUCCUUCAUACUGCCUCCCCUCAGGUUUGUCCCUCUCCCGCAAUAGGUCUUCUGCUAUAGUUUGAACAAGCCCUGCCAUCCCUCACAUGGAGAGCAGUGAGAGGCCGAAGAGCAGUGGCUGGAUGAAACAAAUAUUUGGUGUGCACGUGUUAGCCCUUGGGGAUUGAGUGAUGAACAAGACAGAUACUGUCCUGCCUUCAUGGAAUUAGGUGUUACAAAGAUCAUUUCAAAAUUAAAGGGAGUAAGUACCAUGAGGGAGAGGACCAGGUUUUUAGAAACAGUGUUUGGUGGGAGAAACCUCACCGGAGUGCCACUGACUGCUGGGAAAACAGGAGAGGAGAAGGCUGCUGAGCACGGCACGUGGCUUCCCUGGUUCUCUUUGUGGGUGGCCUCCUGCCUUCUUACGCCUGUUCUUGGCUGACUAAUGAAAUGUCACAAGUGCUGGGGUGGCUGGAGCCACUAACACUUAUAUAUCUCUUCCCUCCUUCUCCCCCAAGCUCUGUAGGCCUUGGGGACUCAGAUACUUUGCAUAUACACAGAUAGACCAAUACAGUUUGACAACCUGAAAGACCUUUGAGUUCAUUUAGUCUGAGCCUUCAUUUUACAGCCAGAACUGACUAACCUAGCAUCACACAGGUGGCAGCACACAGGAUCCAAGUCAGGUGAAAUGAAUGCCAGCACACCAGUCUGACAGAUAAUAACAUGAACCAUAAAUGAUGGGCUGGGUGCAUGGUGCUUGAAUGCUAAGUUCAGGCAGCUGAGGCGUGAGUGGCUGGGAGAGGGGUAGGUACGGAAGAGAGACAGGAAGCUGGGCAUCAGAAUGGUCUAAUAGAAAGUGACGCACUUUGGCAUUGAAAUGCCAUUGUGUAUCUUUAGACAUCCAGGCUUUUCCAAAGAAAAACAGGGAUGCACAAAUUGGGGAAGCUGACAACUGAACGUGUACAGAUGCUGAGAAAUGUCCACGUUGAAAAAUGACAAUUUUGAAUUUUCAUAGUCUAAUAGAAUGCCAAUCUUCCUUGGGGAAACCGUUAUCCUUAUAUCUGGAGUCGUCUUGUGUAGAAAUUCAUACUUACGCCUAAAGAUUAAAUGUUGAUAUAACAAAGCUUCAGAAAUUCUGUAGAUGGGCUAUUUACAGAACAUUUCAAUUUUCAAAUACUCCUAUGAUUAUAUCAUUUUCCUUUAUUAAAUGACUAUCAAAGUAACAGGCCAUUUCUCAAACUAUGUAUCUCUUUUCUAAAACGUGUCCUAAGAAACUUAUAUUUCAAAACUCUGUUUUUGAGCAGCCACUUAACUGCAGAAACUUAACAUACAGUAUCAUAAACUCAUAUUGCAUCAAAAUUUGUAUAGAAAUACGUUUAAAAAUGUGGAUUUCAAGGUUCAGAUGUGUAAAUCCCUUGUAAUAAAGACAUUUGAAAUAGGAAACCUCAUGAUCUUUCAUGUAAUAAAUUGGGCCUUUUGGUAUAAUCUGUGCACAAGUACUCUGAGGCAUCCCUUUCCUAAACUUUCAAACUGAGCGGGGCACCUGGGGGCCUGUCACCACUCAGUAUUGUAUAGCAACAGCAGCCUCUCAUGAAGGGAGGAUGCUUCUCCUUUGUGCUUUGAAAAUGGCUGAAACCAAAGCUGGCCACAGGAAUUUCCUAGCUCUGCCCCCUAUGGACGUUUGAAGUUCUGUGUGCCAGCAUGCUGGUCCACGUGGCUGGGAUGAACGCUUAGAAUAUGAUCCACGUGUGUCGGAACAAACCAGCCUCUUUCCAUCCCAGUUCACCUUGUUUUUUUCUUAACUGAGCAGCCAACAGAAACUGAAUGAGCCGUUCCCUCUACUUUCCCUCUCACCACCAAUAAGAGUCUAAGACUAUGAACCAAAAAAUACGAGUCCUCCACUGUUAAGAGACACACACACAUACCACCACCACCACCCCCACCUUCCCCGGACAUCUUUCCAAGGUGGGACUACAAACUUCUGCUCUGGCACUCUGCUUUUCGCCCUUCCUUUUUCACUCUGUCUUGUGUUCCCACCUUCUUCUGUCUUUUAACCUCACCUCUCCCACUCCACACAGACUCCUCCUCGUCCUUUAUGCUCCUUCAGUUUUUCCCUGCCCCUUGUUCUUAACCGACUAGGAGAGGAGACUGAUUUUUUUAGUCUUAGUUCAGGCAGAAUAUCCAAAAACAGUACGUGGCUCAGUGAACAGGAUUUCUUUCAUUCCUCAAACUGGGUCUGAGGUUUAGCAGAGCCGAUUUUAGUCUUAAUAUCUUACAGAAGGAAAGUUGCUCUUCUCACCUCUGCUUGGGCAUGACAACAUUUAACUAACCACGAUGGAGGCUCCUGGGCACAAAACAUUGGAUGAAACGUUAAUAGGAUUCAGCAAGUCGAGGAUCAGAGGCCCCAUAGUACCCACGGUGCUGGGUAACUGGUGUGGUAAAAAUUUUUGCAAUUUUUGAGAUGGAGAGUAGUUGCACCCAUGGCUUUCUAAGUUUGAAAUGUCUGCUGGCCUGGGCCUCAUGGAUUUUCCCAGCUUUAUGGAACUACUCCAGUAGAGGACAGAAUGCUUAGCGGCAGAAGCAAACUGGAAUUAACCAUAACCAUUAAGCAUCUGCCCACAUCUACUAAAAAAGAUGGAAUUGGGGCUUCAAAUCAAACUAUUCAUUUAGUAACACUGAAGUUGAACAUAAAUGCAAAACCAAUCACUUAGUGGUGAAGAAUGCUGUCUUUGGAGCCAGACUGCCUGGGUUUGAAUCCAAGCUCUGAAUCCCUGUUGGGUGGAUUAUUGAACUGCUGUGGAGCAUAGCUUUCUUAUCUUUAAAAUGGGAUAAUACAAUUAUGGGAAGUAAACGAGAUAGUAUGUGUAAGAGUGUAGAACAGUGCUUAGCGCAGAAUAAGUACUCCAUGAAUUUUAACUAUUUUAUUGGAAGUACCCAGAGCUGCUUUCUCUUUCCAUCUGGACUUUAGGGAAGGGGGCUGGAAAUGAGUCCUGAAAUAUCUUAGCGUAUUUUAGAAAACAUAACGUGGGCCUUAGUUACUACUAGUGAAAACCUCUCGCUCUAUUCUUAUCAAAGCACCUUUUAAUCUUGGGUAUCCAGAUUUCACCUUACCUUGAUGAUGCAAAUGUGUGCCUCAUGCACCAGGAGAGGCAGUUUGCUCCCAGGUCUUCCUGUUUAGGGACAUCUUCAAAGGCCACACCCACCGUGUAAUCCAAACACUCGUCCACCUCCACCUCCCAGUAAUGGCGCCCUCGGACUGGAAUUAGGUUUCCCAUGACAGCAACACACCUGGUUUUAGAAAGUGGAAGCAUCUGUGAUUUGGGGUGACCCAAGCCCGGCUGUGCAGGUGAGUGACACCAACUGCUGGGGUCAGUCAGUAGGUGGUCUAGAAGUGUGGAGGCAGGUGUUUGAACACCCACUUGUAAAGCAGCACAGCCCUAACUCUCAAAGCUCACUUGACUGAUGCUGAAGAUUAGAAGAGGAUUAUUACACUGCUGGUCAUAGGUGAGGAGGAGAAAAGCCAAUAGAAAAGGCUCUGUUUGCUUUUUUCAGUGAUUGGGCUUUCAUAGUAACAAAAAGGUUUGGUUCACUUGUUCAUGAUGAAAGAAAGGGAUUGAGGACUUCCCUGGUGGUCCAGAGAUUAAGACCGAGCUUCCACUGCAGGAGAUGUGGGUUCGAUUCCUGAUUGGGGAACUAAGAUUCCGCAUGCCACAAGGCGUGGCCAAAAAAAAAAAGAAAGGGACUGAAACCUAACAACACAGCAUGGUUGAGGGAACCAUAUGCUUGAGGUUCAUGAGCUGGCCAGC